UUUUUGAGAAUCUUGGAGAUGCUGGAAAGAGAGUUUUAUUUUUGAAUCCAAGUCUUGGAUCCUCUCUACUUAACAGGCCUUCCUGUUUAUCUCGCUUGUCUAGCAUUUUAUUAUAAGCAGCAGAAAGAAGCCAGGAAGCAUUUCUACACUCUACCCAGAAAUCUCCUGAAAUAAAUUAUCCAUUUCACUAAGUACAUUUUCUACUUACUACUUUAUUGUGAGUGUAGUGUUGCUAAACUUUUUGCCAGUAUAUAACAAGGAUUCCCUUUCUUUGAGUUCCCAAUUUUCCUCUUUAAUUUUCUUUUUAUAAUUUUUCCCUGACAGUCUCCAGCAGGCUUCCACUCUCAGCCUUUUCAAAGGCCUUUCAACUUCCAUCUAUCUCCCAUUCAUUGCCACUGUGGCUUUUUAAAGUCUUUGUUACAUAAGACCCCAUUCUUGGCACCAAAAUUAGUUUCAAGUACUUAAUUCUCAAAACUAAGUUGUUUAUAUUGUCUAUCAUAGUUUAUGUGUGUUGGAAAUGCAGAUAGGGUAUGUGAGAUAAUUAAUCUUUACUCCAGAGGUUUGGAACCUUGGUUGGAAGAAUAAAAAGGUUGAGCACUGGAAUCCUUUGAAGUCUUGUUUUCUUACCUGUCUGGGAUUGAUGCUGUCUAUUGAUGGGGAAUUCAGUUUCUUUUCCUGUUAUUUUCUGUGUGCUCUCCAAAUGUGGCCUGGGUUAGAGUUAACUCACAGCGUGCUUGAGUUCUAAAGUCCAAAUUCAAGGAAGCAAGAAAGACACACAGACAGGCAGACAGACAGACAAGAGAAGAGAAUAAUAUUUAUGACCUUACUGUAGAAGUCUUAUAGUGUUAUGUCUUCCAUACUUAUUUACAAAAGGAGUCACAAAGCCCAGUGGGAUUCCAGGGGCUUUGAGUUCUGGAGACUGGGAAGACCAAGAACUAAGUGCCAGGAGAGUAUCUGGUAAGAGCUCACUCUCUGCUCCAUAGGUAGUGCCUUAUCUCAGCAUAUUCACAUGGUGGAAGGGACAAAUGCUAAGUCCUCGAGCCCAUUUACAAGGGCAGUAAUCCCAUUUAUGAGAGCAGAGUUCUCAUGACUUAAUAAUUUUCCAAAGGACCCCAUCUCUUAAUAAUAUCACAUUGGGUUUUAGGUUGUAACAUGAAUUUUGGAGGGACACAUUUAGAUCACAACAUUCAUUGAAUAUUUCUUUGCUUAAUUCUUAUUCUUUCCAUUCACUACUCUUCUAUUUGACCUUCUCAUUAUAUCUUUUUGUUUCCUACUCAAUUUUCUAUAUUGUGUCCCUUUGACUCUCUUAAUUCUGGAUAGUUUUUUCUAACAUAUCUCUCAGCAUAUUACUCCUUUUAACUAAAUUCUGUUUCAGUAAAUCAGUUUUCCCACUAUAACAUCCAUUAAAUUGUUAACUUUGAUUAUUUUAUCUAUUAUAGGAUUUUACUUGGUUAUGUUUUAGACCUGUUACAUUACAUUUUAUUU
rnacentral:lncRNA from 1 species